GACGAACGCUGGCGGCGUGCUUAACACAUGCAAGUCGAACGGAAAGGCCCUGCUUUUGUGGGGUGCUCGAGUGGCGAACGGGUGAGUAACACGUGAGUAACCUGCCCUUGACUUUGGGAUAACUUCAGGAAACUGGGGCUAAUACCGGAUAGGAGCUCCUGCUGCAUGGUGGGGGUUGGAAAGUUUCGGCGGUUGGGGAUGGACUCGCGGCUUAUCAGCUUGUUGGUGGGGUAGUGGCUUACCAAGGCUUUGACGGGUAGCCGGCCUGAGAGGGUGACCGGGCACAUUGGGACUGAGAUACGGCCCAGACUCCUACGGGAGGCAGCAGUGGGGAAUAUUGCACAAUGGGCGGAAGCCUGAUGCAGAAACGCCGCGUGCGGGAUGACGGCCUUCGGGUUGUAAAACGCUUUCGCCUGUGACGCAGAGUGAGUGACGGUAAUGGGUAAAGAAGCACCGGCUAAAUACGUG
rnacentral:rRNA from 1 species